rnacentral:rRNA from 1 species
AACGAACGCUGGCGGCAGGCCUAACACAUGCAAGUCGAACGCCCCGCAAGGGGAGUGGCGCACGGGUGAGUAACGCGUGGGAAUAUGCCCUUCGGUUCGGAAUAACACAGGGAAACUUGUGCUAAUACCGGAUACGAUCUACGGAUGAAAGAUUUAUCGCCGAGGGAGUAGCCCGCGUAGGAUUAGCUAGUUGGUGAGGUAACGGCUCACCAAGGCGACGAUCCUUAGCUGGUCUGAGAGGAUGAUCAGCCACACUGGGACUGAGACACGGCCCAGACUCCUACGGGAGGCAGCAGUGGGGAAUAUUGGACAAUGGGCGAAAGCCUGAUCCAGCCAUGCCGCGUGAGUGAUGAAGGCCUUAGGGUUGUAAAGCUCUUUCGCCAGGGAAGAUAAUGACGGUACCUGGAGAAGAAGCCUCGGCUAACUCCGUGCCAGCAGCCGCCGUAAGAC